UGCGCGUAAGGGCUCGUAGCGGUUCGUCGCGUCCGGUGUGAAAGUCCAUCGCUUAACGGUGGAUCCGCGCCGGGUACGGGCGGGCUUGAGUGCGGUAGGGGAGACUGGAAUUCCCGGUGUAACGGUGGAAUGUGUAGAUAUCGGGAAGAACACCAAUGGCGAAGGCAGGUCUCUGGGCCGUCACUGACGCUGAGGAGCGAAAGCGUGGGGAGCGAACAGGAUUAGAUACCC
rnacentral:rRNA from 1 species